rnacentral:rRNA from 1 species
GUGGGGAAUAUUGGACAAUGGGGGAAACCCUGAUCCAGCGACGCCGCGUGUGUGAAGAAGGCCUGCGGGUUGUAAAGCACUUUUAGUGGGGAUGAAAAGCUCAGGGCUAAUACCUCUGGGUCUUGACCUAACCCACAGAAAAAGCACCGGCUAACUCUGUGCCAGCAGCCGCGGUAAUACAGAGGGUGCAAGCGUUAAUCGGAAUUACUGGGCGUAAAGCGUGCGUAGACGGUUAUAUAAGUCGGGUGUGAAAGCCCCGGGCUCAACCUGGGAAUUGCAUUCGAGACUGCAUAGCUAGGGUACGGAAGAGGGAAGCGGAAUUUCAGGUGUAGCGGUGAAAUGCGUAGAUAUCUGAAGGAACACCAGUGGCGAAAGCGGCUUCCUGGUCCAGUACCGACGUUCAGGCACGAAAGCGUGGGGAGCAAACAGGAUUAGAAACCCGAGUAGUCC